UCACUCCUUUUGGAGUCCUUCUGUGAGCUCAGGACACAGUGGCUACAGCUGAAGUUGAAGAUGACAUCUCUGGGUGCAGGCAUGUUCACUGAAGCAGAUGACUCUCAUCCACGUUGUCACUCUACCAGUGUUCACAAGUGGUCAGUACAGUUUAGCAAGGAGAGAAAAAGAUGGGAAUGGAACAAGAAAACCAUUUAUGGUUUCUGAUUUCCUACCUUCAAGGAAAUAGUCUGAUGGACAGAAGCACUACUUGGAGAAGAGAUAUCUGCUACACAGCAUUCUGUGAACUCAGGAUCACAGUGAGUAGGGAAG
ensembl:lncRNA